rnacentral:rRNA from 1 species
UACGUAGGCGGAAAAUUAAGUCAGUAGUGAAAUCCUGCAGCUUAACUGUAGAACUGUUAUUGAUACUGGUUUUCUUGAAUAUAGUUGAGGUAGGCGGAAUGUGUAAUGUAGCGGUGAAAUGCUUAGAUAUUACACAGAACACCGAUUGCGAAGGCAGCUUACUAAGCUAUGAUUGACGCAGAGGUACGAAAGCGUGGGGAGCGAACAGGAUUAGAUACCCUGGUAGUC